rnacentral:rRNA from 1 species
UGGGGAAUAUUGGACAAUGGGCGGAAGCCUGAUCCAGCCAUGCCGCGUGUGUGAAGAAGGCCUUUUGGUUGUAAAGCACUUUAAGUGGGGAGGAAAAGCUUAUGGUUAAUACCCAUAAGCCCUGACGUUACCCACAGAAUAAGCACCGGCUAACUCUGUGCCAGCAGCCGCGGUAAUACAGAGGGUGCAAGCGUUAAUCGGAAUUACUGGGCGUAAAGCGCGCGUAGGUGGUUAUUUAAGUCAGAUGUGAAAGCCCCGGGCUUAACCUGGGAACUGCAUCUGAUACUGGAUAACUAGAGUAGGUGAGAGGGGAGUAGAAUUCCAGGUGUAGCGGUGAAACGCGUAGAGAUCUGGAGGAAUACCGAUGGCGAAGGCAGCUCCCUGGCAUCAUACUGACACUGAGGUGCGAAAGCGUGGGUAGCAAACAGGAUUAGAUACCCUGGUAGUCCACGCCGUAAACGAUGUCUACCAGUCGUUGGGUCUUUUAAAGACUUAGUGACGCAGUUAACGCAAUAAGUAGACCGCCUGGGGAGUACGGCCGCAAGGUUA